UGGUGAACCUGGUUCUCCCGGUCAAGCUGGCCCCACUGGUACUCCUGGUAUUGCUGGUGCCCCUGGCUUCCCUGGCGCCUGUGGUGCUCCUGGACCUCAAGGCCCCGGAGGUUCCCCUGGACCUAAGGGUAACAAUGGUGAACCUGGUACUCAGGGAAACAAAGGAGAACCCAGUGCUAAGGGAGAACCUGGCCCAGCUGGCGUUCAAGGACCCACUCAACAACCCCAGCCUAAUAC